GACGACUUCAAUAAGCCUGUUCCUCUCCACUUGGUGGUUAAUUCACUGGGCUCAGAAGACACUCCUACUGGGCAUUUUGAGCUGAAAGUUGGCAGAACAAGGCUCCAUGAAGGAAGGAAGCAGCUGCAAAAAGAAGAGGAAGAAAUGCUUAAGCAGCGAAGCGUUGAGGCCGAACUCACUCCUGGCUCAGCGUCAUUCAGGUUCCUCCAUUAUAAAGUCAUCCUGGUAUGAAGUCCAAGGCCAAGGUGACUUCUCAAUUGUUUCCUAGGGUCGACCUUAGCCCAGUAACCCUGAGUCUAUGAGCAGGAUGACGUUUCCAGAGCACAGCUCUAAUCCGUGGUCCCUCUAUUGGGUACAGAAAGCAGAGCAUUGGGCAUCCACAGUGUGCCAGGCAGUUGGGCUCCAGGCAGAUAAUGGCAAGCAAACAAAUAAAUUCCCCGCCUUCAUGAAGCUCCUAGUCUGGCAGAGGAAGCCAGGUGGAUCCAGAUACCUCUGGCUGUUUUCUCUCUCAAAUCUACAAUAAAAACCUUCCCCUUAAUGCCAUGGAGCAUACCAUAGAAAAGUUGUCAGUUUAUACAUCAACAAGCAGCUGAGUGUGCCUCAUGAUAGAAGAAGGAUGAAUGAGGACAGACAGACCCUGGAGCAGCCACUGCCAUAGGCUCAGCUGGACAUUCCUGUCAUCCCUGUCACGGCAAACGGGCAAAGUCCAAGGAAACUCAGGAUUGCUCAUUUUUCGUCUGGAUUUUUUUGGGUGUGUGUAUGUGAAGGGGUCAUGGGAUGCCUUUAAAAAGUUUUGAUUUGCUCUCAUUACUUAAAAGCAUGGUUUUAAAUACAAAUAUGAUGGCUCGGAAAGAUGGCCCAGAAGUUAAGAGCAAGUACUGUUAUUGUGAAGGACCCGAAUUCCAUUCCCAACGCGUGCCUCAGGUGGCCCACAACUGUCGAGGCAUCCAGCCUCAGGUUGUCAGAUACCUCUGGCCUCCACAGGUGCCUGUACUCAUGUACACACACCCACACGCUGACAGAGGCACAAAAUUAACAUCAAAAACAAUUUUUUAAAUAAAAACACAGUUCCCUGUCUUCUCAUGUGGGAAAGUCAAAACGGCACCUUCCUGGGUUCACUGCCCCCACUGCAGCCAUCAGAUGAGAGGCAGCUGCUCUCAGGCCCUCUGGGCUCUCUUCCGCGGCCUGCACAUUUGCUUCACCAGCCUGACCCUGGUAGAUAUCUAAGGUUAUUACCCUCACCUUCUGCUAUGGUUGAGAAAUAUGUUCCCCAAGGCCCAGGUAUUAAAAAUUUGGUUUUCCCUGUUCUUGGCACUCUUGGGAGAACAUGGAACCUUAGAAGUGGGGCCUCCUGGGAGGUCUUGAAGUCAUUGGAAAUGUCCUUGGAGGAGAUACUGGGGCCCUAGUUCCUUCCUUCCCUUCUCGUUGGCUGUGAGGUGAGCAGCUUUGCUCCACCAUGUUGUCCCAUAUCAUAAUGUACCCACCUGUCACAAGCCAAGAGCAAUGGGACCACGUGCCAAAGCCUCCCAAACCGUUAGCAAAUGUUCUCACUGUAAGUCGAUCUCCCUUGGAUAUUUGUUAUAGUACCAGACAGCUGAUUAACACAACCCGGAAAGAAGAACCCCACAUUCAGACCCAUGCAGGCAUAUAUGAGACAAGCUACUUCCUGUGUCUAGCUUGGUGUCCCCAUCCAUUUGAUGGAGAUUGACUAGACUUCACCCAAGAAUAUGCAUUUUAAGUUGGAGGCUGCAUAUGAGAUUCCAUCUGGACAAAUUCUGCUGCUCUUGAUUUGAUGAACCCUGCUAUGGGAUGUUCUCUAUGCUAUGAAUGUGUUGCUCUGAUUGGUUAAUAAAUAAAGUGCUGAUUGGCCAGUA